rnacentral:rRNA from 2 species
AUACGACCAUAGGGUGUGGAGAACAGGGCUUCCCGUCCGCUCAGCCGUACUUAAGCCACACGCCGGGAGGUUAGUAGUUGGGUGGGUGACCACCAGCGAAUCCCUCCUGUUGUAUG